rnacentral:rRNA from 1 species
GCGGAAGGAUCAUUGCACACAC